CCGUUUCUCAUUUCACCAGCCUCCUAGUAUCCAUGGGGAUCCAUAGGGGUAUUCCUGCUACACGUGAAUCAUUUUCCUUAACAAUCUUAAUUCCAGGGCCGUCCCCAUACCCCGUCUGGUAUGAGAGUGAAUUGGGCUGUCUCCAUACCCCGUCCGGUAUUAGCGCCAAAUGACCAAUACUGCAUACCUCGUCCGAUAUGAGACAACAUUCACGGUAGAGUUCCCUAUGAACCCAGUCCGUCCACUAUCUCCUAGGAUAUCUAGCAAGGCUGUCACCU
rnacentral:lncRNA from 1 species